rnacentral:rRNA from 1 species
UACAGGGGGGGCAAGCGUUGUUCGGAAUUACUGGGCGUAAAGGGCUCGUAGGUGGCCGACUAAGUCAGAGGUGAAAUCCCUCAGCUUAACUGGGGAACUGCGUCUGAUACUGGAUGGCUUGAGUUUGGGAGAGGGAUGCGGAAUUCCAGGUGUAGCGGUGAAAUGCGUAGAUAUCUGGAGGAACACCGGUGGCGAAGGCGGCAUCCGGGACCAACACUGACACUGAGGAGCGAAAGCCAGGGGAGCAAACGGG